rfam:Triticum aestivum genome assembly, contig: Triticum_aestivum_CS42_TGACv1_scaffold_405300_5BL
AAUGUACUCCCUCUGUCCGGAAUUAAAUAUUAUAAAAAAAAUGUAUCUAGACGUAUUUUAGUUCUAGAUACAUUCAUUUUUAUCCAUUUCUACGACAAGUAAUUCGGAACCGAGGAAAUAUAUA